rnacentral:rRNA from 1 species
UCACUGACCGUGAUAAUGUAGCGUAAUCAAUAGCCAAUUAAUUGUUGGCCGGUAUGAAUGGCAUCACGAAGGCCCCACUGUCUUAAGAGGACUCUCCAUGAAAUUGAAUUCGUAGUGAAGAUGCUACGUCCAUAUUGUAAGACGAAAAGACCCCAUUGAGCUUUACUAAAGACUUGUAUAGCUCGAAAUAACUUAAAUAAAAAGUUUAGAUAAUGUGGGAUCCGUUUUUGGUUAAUGAAACACCACUCUUUUAUUUUAAGAGAGCUAACCUUGUAGGGAGAAUGCAAGUUGGAUAGUUUGGUUGGGGCGACCACCUUUUAAAAGGUAACGAAGGUGAGCUUAAGGUCCGUAGUUAAUAGCUAGUGGCCUGACUGCAAGGGGGACAUCCCGAGCAGACACUGGUAAUCUCUCAGUGGGUUAUAGUGACCCGUCAUCUUAGAGUGGAAUAGUUGACGAUCAACGAAUAAAAGCUACCAUGGGGG